rnacentral:rRNA from 2 species
GAGUUUGAUCAUGGUUCAGGACGAACGCUGGCGGCGUGCUUAACACAUGCAAGUCGAGCGGUAAGGCCCUUCGGGGUACACGAGCGGCGAACGGGUGAGUAACACGUGGGUGAUCUGCCCUGCACUUCGGGAUAAGCCUGGGAAACUGGGUCUAAUACCGGAUAUGACCUUCGGCUGCAUGGCUGAGGGUGGAAAGGUUUACUGGUGCAGGAUGAGCCCGCGGCCUAUCAGCUUGUUGGUGGGGUAAUGGCCUACCAAGGCGACGACGGGUAGCCGACCUGAGAGGGUGACCGGCCACACUGGGACUGAGACACGGCCCAGACUCCUACGGGAGGCAGCAGUGGGGAAUAUUGCACAAUGGGCGAAAGCCUGAUGCAGCGACGCCGCGUGAGGGAUGACGGCCUUCGGGUUGUAAACCUCUUUCAGCAGGGACGAAGCGAAAGUGACGGUACCUGCAGAAGAAGCACCGGCCUAACUACGUG